rnacentral:rRNA from 1 species
CCUACGGGGGGCAGCAGUGGGGAAUCUUGCACAAUGGGGGAAACCCUGAUGCAGCGAUGCCGCGUGAGUGAAGAAGGCCUUUGGGUUGUAAAACUCUUUCGUCGGGGAAGAAAAUGACUGUACCCGAAUAAGAAGGUCCGGCUAACUUCGUGCCAGCAGCCGCGGUAAUACGAAGGGACCUAGCGUAGUUCGGAAUUACUGGGCUUAAAGAGCUCGUAGGUGGUUAAAAAAGUUGAUGGUGAAAUCCCAAGGCUCAACCUUGGAACUGCCAUCAAAACUUUUUAGCUAGAGUGUGAUAGAGGUAAGUGGAAUUUCUAGUGUAGAGGUGAAAUUCGUAGAUAUUAGAAAGAACACCAAAUGCGAAGGCAACUUACUGGGUCACUACUGACACUGAGGAGCGAAAGCAUGGGUAGCGAAGAGGAUUAGAUACCCCGGUAGUC